rnacentral:rRNA from 1 species
CAGUAGCCACGGUAAUACGUAUGUCACAAGCGUUAUCCGGAUUUAUUGGGCGUAAAGCGCGUCUAGGUGGUUAUGUAAGUCUGAUGUGAAAAUGCAGGGCUCAACUCUGUAUUGCGUUGGAAACUGUGUAACUAGAGUACUGGAGAGGUAAGCGGAACUACAAGUGUAGAGGUGAAAUUCGUAGAUAUUUGUAGGAAUGCCGAUGGGGAAGCCAGCUUACUGGACAGAUACUGACGCUGAAGCGCGAAAGCGUGGGUAGCAAACAGGAUUAGAUACCCCUGUAGUCCCUGUCUCUUAUACA